UCUUCUUCUACGUUCUUUUCCUUUGAAGAAGAAAACCCAACGCCCUUCCCUCUCUCGCUCUCAAAUUUCGCUCGGUGUUCCCAGUUGCUCCGGCGCACGCUGCAUCGCCAUGUUGCUGCUUCGGCUUUCCUUGGCCCCCGCCGUCGCCGACGAAGCACACCGCCUUGCUCCGACGAAGCAAAGCCCUCGUCCUCCACUCUCUCCCUCCGGCGCUCCCUCUAUGCUCGGGCGCAGCUUUCCUUCGCUGGGUGGCCGAGAUCCGGGGAUCCCAUUUUGACUUCAUUCAGGCGUGUUCUGCCAGUGAUUAUGCUGGUUGGCAGGGUUAUGGCAUGACCGAGUCAACUGCAGUUGGAACCUGAGGCUUCAGUACUAAGAAGUGUCGAAAAAUUUCUUCCAUUGGACUUUGGGCUUCAAAUAUGCAAGCCAAGGUGUUGGGCUGCAAGACUGGAUCCUUCUUGCCUCCAGGCAGUAGUGGCGAGCUUUUGUUACGAGGACUUUCAAAUCCGAAAGGCUGCAUAUGACCUCCAUGCUUAGAGUACUCUUCUAGUGUUUCUUUACUUCUUUCUGGCUUCUGGGGAUUCCAUAAUUGUGCAAGCAGUCAACGACCAUAAGCUUACCAGUACCCCUCCAACUCCCAGUAGUUCUGGCUGGGCAUUUUGGGACGAGCGUGCAGGGAUGAGCUCAACUAUAGUUCCUGACCAGCAUCAUCAGUCCAGCUGCCGAUCUAGCCUUGGUUCUGAUGGGGUUGCAUCUCCUUAUGCAGGAGGAGAAGCUAGCCAUUUUCAUAGAGCAAGAGAGGAUUUGCAAUCAAUGGUCAAAAGCCAUUUGAAAUGCCUUUCGAGAGAAAUUGGUUUAGGUCAUGGUGAGUUUAAGGAAAUAGCGAGGUGUUCCGCUCACUGUCUUGGCUGCUUGCAGCCCUGAGCGAAGGAGGAGCGAGCUCUAGAUGAUCCCUCCGCCAUCCGUUUGUUCCCAUAGGGACAAAAUGGCAACUGGACAGACAAGUCUGAUGAGAGGAGUUUUGCUCAAACAUGUUUCGAUGUUUUCAUCAGAGGUGUAACCCAAAACAUAAGGUACACAAGACUACCACCACGUUGGCUAAGUUUAGGUCUUUACGAAUUGACAAACAUGGGUUGCCACUUUUUGCACGUCCAUCCUUUCUUGGCGGAUUUAGAUGAGAAGUAGGGGGAUUUUUGUCCAUACUGAUACUAGAUUUAUUGUUCCCAAGAGGAUCCAUUUUUCUGUGAUUACAUUGAUGACAUUUAUUUUUUGGCUGAA